AGUGAACGCUGGCGGUAGGCCUAACACAUGCAAGUCGAACGGCAGCACAGUAAGAGCUUGCUCUUACGGGUGGCGAGUGGCGGACGGGUGAGGAAUACAUCGGAAUCUACUUUUUCGUGGGGGAUAACGUAGGGAAACUUACGCUAAUACCGCAUACGACCUACGGGUGAAAGCAGGGGAUCUUCGGACCUUGCGCGAUUGAAUGAGCCGAUGUCGGAUUAGCUAGUUGGCGGGGUAAAGGCCCACCAAGGCGACGAUCCGUAGCUGGUCUGAGAGGAUGAUCGGCCACACUGGAACUGAGACACGGUCCAGACUCCUACGGGAGGCAGCAGUAGGGAAUAUUGGACAAUGGGCGCAAGCCUGAUGCAGCCAUACCGCGUGAGUGAAGAAGGCCUUCGGGUUGUAAAGCCCUUUUGUUGGGAAAGAAAAGCAGCAGGUUAAUACCUCGCUGUUCUGACGGUACCCAAAGAAUAAGCACCGGCUAACUUCGUG
rnacentral:rRNA from 1 species